CCCGUUUGGGAUGAAAUUCAUCUUGCCUUUCUACUUGUCCUUCGGUGAUGAGGCUCAUCUUGGCUUCCUAGAUGCCCUGCAGUCACGAGUUUCAUCUUAGCUCCUACUUGCCCUUCUGUUGUGAGGUUCAUCUUAGCUUUCUGUUUGCCCUUCUAUCAUUAAGUUCAUCUUGAUUUUCCACUUGCCCUUCAUUUCAUAUGCAUCUUUCCAUCCCGCACCUAAUCUAGUGCUCAAUAUUAUGUUGUCCUCAACCAUCAACGGUAAGGCGUGAGAUUCAGUUAUUUUGUAUUAGUGAGCCACUGAGACAUACUAGAGCCUCUCCUACAAUAUAUUUUUCAUCAGAGGAAAUCAUAUAUUCUAGGAGCCCAAAAUCCUCUGCAUCAAGAGCUGUUCCAUAGUCUGCAUGGCCGGCCAGUGACCAGUGGCUGUUGUAGGCAUGCAACAGUAGUGGU
rnacentral:lncRNA from 1 species